UCUCUGUCUGCUUCCGUCCAUGUACCGCUUUUGCUCUAUCACUUCUCAUUUUCAAUCUUCUCUAUUUACUAUUUGCAAACCCCAGGAUCCAAAACAAGCUGAAAAUUACCUUCUCAGCUUAUGAACUGAUCUCUGUUUUGCUUCUUUAGCCAUUUCACCUAGAUCUUCCGUAGUAACUCCUAUGGCGAAAUCAAGCUUUUCAUAUACAAAAUGUUGAACGAUAUGUGUUCUUUCCUCCCGUGAGUGAGUUGAAUGUCUUGCGUAUUCUUCGGAUCGAAUAGAAGAACAUUUUUGGCACGAUUGUUUUUUAUUAUCAAAAUAAAUUCUCCAUUAUUUGUCACGAAAAGGGGCACUACAUCUCCAUGAAGAGGUUCUAUAUUUAAAUUCCUUGUGAAAAAUACGGACGUCCAUGAUUCCUUUACUUCAUAUUCAAAUUGGGAAAACACUAGAGACUAACUCUUCCUCAGUUGGUUCACCGUAUUGGUUGUUGCUUCCACAUGCUAAAGAUGCAAGGUACAAUCUUUACUAGUCCACUUUUCUAUUUUGGGAUAUUCAAAUUAAGAUGGAUGGCUUGACGACCUAAAUUCAAGUUUGAACCAAAGGAAAGUUCAUAUAUUAUACAAAUAGAGGUUUUAGAUGGAAAUCAACUGUGGGGAUCUCAACACACCUUGACAACAUCUAGGAGAUUGUUGCCAGGUUCGUGUUCAUGAGGCCAAGGCUUUGAUGUCCCUCUACACAAAUAUGUCGUCAUGAUGGAAUUAGAGAUAUCCUUGGAAACAUGCGUUUGGUUCUGAUUUUUCAUUUGAAAGUUGAAUGCAAUACCUUGAUUCUGACUUUAUCACUGUUAGCUGGGGUGCAUUCCCUAAUUUACUUCCAUGCAUUUACGCUUGCUUUUCCCUCAAUUAGGUGCGGUUGUAAUUUGCAGGAACAAAAUGAAAGGUUGUUCUACAAUCUUCUUAUUGAUAAUGUGGAAGACUUCUGUAAUUUAUUAUUAUAUAAAUUGACUUUUCAAGUCCUCAUCAAAGAAAGAUAUAUGUCAAAUAUGUGUUGUUUUGUUCCAUUCUUUUUGCUAACAUCUGUUGGUGGCAUAUUAACCUAUUAACUUUAAUGUAAAUUUAGUUCUCUGUUGAGUAAGAACCUUUUAUUUCAUGCUGUAGACUUACCUUCCAAACGAAACACCAACACCUUAUAGUAUUAUAGAGAAGACAACAACAACAACAACAAACCCAGUGUAUUCCCACUUAGUGGGGUCUGGGGGGGUAAGAUGUACGCAGUCCAUACCUCUACCUCUGAUGAAGUAGAAAGGCUGUUUCCGAAAGACCCCCGGCUCAAGGUAGUAUUAUAGAGAAGAGGAACUGCAAAAUCUGAGAGGAAAUAGAACUGGGAAGCGUGAGUGUAACGACCCGGUACUACCCCCUAGUCGUCACACGGUGCUUAUGACCCCGAAGGACCACAAGCUAACCCAUGAAUGAUAUCUGCUAUGAGCACUGAAUAAUAAUACUGUAAUUAAUGCAAAAAAAUGGGCUGAAAUGCCAUAAGGUUCAAAAUAUCUAAAAUACUGAUAAAAUAUAACAUCUGUAAAACUGAAUACUGUCUGAAAAUCUAGUCUGAAAGCCUCUAACUGAAUCUAUCUGAAAGCGGAGUUGAUGGGACAAUCCCCCAACUAACUCCAUCUACUACACUUCUACAUCUACUAAAAUAUGAAAUAAUAGAAUAUCCUCGAUAGAUGAGGACUCACUACUGGAUCUGCUACUACUAGCUGAAUCUGGCUAAACGCUGUCAGGAAUCUGAGUGUCUGAACCUAUGAUAUGAAACAUCAUAGCGCAGAAAAGUAUGCAUCAGUACGUGGGAAUGUACUACUAGUAUGCUAGAUGAGGUAAGGCUGAAUGAAAGGGUUCAUAUGCAUGAACAAUAACUGACUAAAUGAUAUAGGGUAACUGAACAUGAGAGUACGUGAAUAACUGGUACUACUAAUCACUGAGUAUGCAACAUUGUGGACAUACACAGAUAUAUAUUGUAUUUGGACUUUUCUGAAGCUAAGUACUGAGUUCUGAUAACUGAGUAACUGAUAUCUGAAGUUACUAAUAACUGAAUUACUGAUACUGAUUGACUGUGUCUGACAAUCCUGAUUCUGUAGAGCUGAAUUGAGUUCUAAACUGAAGACUAAAACUGAAACUGUGGGAGGUAAUCAUCUAAUCGAUAUGCCCCAAAUAAGAUAAGAUAACUGAGUUGGGGUCCAAUCUGUAACCCCAAUUGGAAAGGUGUCAGUACCGUGCCACGGGUAAAGACAACUAUUGUGGAGUCAGUCCUAACUAGCGGGUGACCCCUGAGAUCAGUCCUAAACUAGCGGGUGAUUCCUGAGUAUGUCAGUCCUAUCUCACGGGUGACAUCUCAUAACCUACGCUGGCUAUGUAGUUCUGGAACUUAGGGAUUGCUUCUAGGGACCCAGUCCUAACUAACGGGUAAGACCCCAUCCCUUGGCUUGCUCGGUGCUGAAUCCUACUUCCAACUGAAAGAAAUUGAUCUGAUCAUACUAAACUGGACUGGACCGAUACAGAGUUUACCGACUUUUCCUCAGUUCUGUAACUGACUGAGUUCUACUGAGUUCUGUAACUAAUUGAGAGUACUACUGACUGUGACAUGAAUGAUACUAUCCUGUCAUUGACACUGGCUCUAGGUAAACAACUAAAUUAUCGGGUAUUAAAUACCCCCAGGACUCGAUAGCAUGAAAAGUAAAGCAAGGCAUCAUCUUGAAUAACAUAACAAUGUUCACUUGGUCAUAAUUCAUUCAUAGAGACAUUUCAUCAAACACUUGUAAUGCAUUAACUUGUACAUGGAUGGGGAAUACAUGUUAGCAUGCUAUAAUGGCAUUAUUUCAUUCUCAUAGACAAUUUAUCAAACACAUAAGAAGUAUACUUGGUUCAUUAAAUCAUAAAUACUUAGGGUUAACAUGGUUACAACAAUCAACUUGUAAAUUAAAGGGUUUAUCAUAAAUAUCAUGUAAUUCAACACAUACUAGAAUCAAUUCUUGGAACUUGUAAUCUAAAUCAUGGAUUAAAACUCAAACAACAUCAUGAACUUGAAUUCAAUCUAAUUCAAAUAUGGAAAUCAUAAAUCAUAAAUAUUGUAUUUUGAAAAAGGAUUCUUGGGCUUCAUGGAAGAUAAGGAUCCAUGGAUGAACAUCUAACAUACCUUAAUUUGAGAGUUUCUUGGAGUUCUUGGAGAAAUUCUUGGGAUUGACCUUAAUUCUUGAGAGCUAGGGUUUAUUUUCUUGAGAGAGAAUUAUCUUUUAAUUUUGGAGAAAAGUGAAUAAUGAAAGGUUUAAACGUUUUUAGGGGUGAAAUCCCAUAUCUGGACGAAUUAAAAUCAUGGGGAAAGACUGUUUUGACCUUGGGCGCAACUUUAAGUUUUACAGUGAGAAAUGGGACAGGUCCUACGAUGUCUAUAAUGAUUUAGGUGAUCUUGGAAGGGUGAAACACACAUUCGUAAGAUUCUAGGAGGAUCAACUAACUAUCCUUAUCCUCAUCGAGGAAGAACAGACCGACCACCUACAAAAAUUGGUUAGAUGAUGUCAAAGUUCAAUCAUCUGUCCAAUUUUUAUCAUUGAUAGCAGCAUAGAGUUUUUACUUAGGAAAAUCAUUACAAGAAUGUGUUUACUUUUAUCUUUUCUUGCAGAUCUUAAGAACGAAAGCUGGCUACCAUUACGGAAAACCUUGGAUAUUUAUAUGCCUAGAGAUGAGAGGUUCAGCCCACUAAAGAUGUUUGAUUUUGCAGCAACUGGAUUGAAAUCAAUAUAUCAGUUCCUUGUCCCGGUUUUUUUUGGCUCUUUUUCAUAAAAUUCCCUUUGAGUUCGACUCAUUUGAGGAUAUGAUGAAACUCUACGAAGGUGGAAUCAAGUUGCCUGGUAAAUCUUCCAUGAAAAAAAUAAGAGACCACCUUCCGUUGGAAUUGCUGAAAGAACUGCUACGGGGAUCAAUCAGGUCAUCAUCGUGACUGAUGGAGAAAGAAUUCUGGGACCUGGGGACCUUGGUUGCCAGAGAAUGUGCAUACCUGUGGGGAAAUUGGCUCUAUAUACUGCACCUUGGAGGAGUCAGACCUUCAGCGUGCUUGCCUAUAACCAAGAACGUAGGGACAAACAGUGAAGUUAUCAAACCAUGAGUCUCCAUUGAUCUUAGACAAAAGAAAGCAACUGGGCAGGAAUAUUUUGACUUCAUGAAUCCAUGUGUGCUCUGAAGCAAAAUUAUGGUGAAAAAAGUCUCAUACAGGUCAAUAUUUUGAAACUUAUCCAAUAUUAUAUCAAUGAUUAGUUCUUUAUUUUUUUUCCCAUGUGACACCUGAACCUGAAGUUUGUAACUUCAUUCUCAGUUUGAAGAUUUUGCAGACCACAAUGCUUUUGAGUUGUUGACCCUUUAACUUGGCCUUAGAUCACAUCUAAUCCAUAGGGAACAUGAAGCUAACCUGAGAAGUUGAGGGAGAAGCUUCUAUUCCCACAAAACACGUAUGAUUCGGAAAUCCACUUUUUAUCACAGCACUCGAGUCAUAGUCAAUGCACUUUUGAACUUUUCAAUUUUAGAGCCGAAUCAUACCUGCAAAUUAAAAAAUAUUUCCUAAGAUCAAUUUUCGACUAUGCAGCAUUAUCAUUCAUCAUUUCUAUCUCCCUCAAAUUAAGGAUUUGUAUCAAUUUUAAAAGCAAGUCAGUAGUUUAUUUAAUUGGAAUGAAUAGAGAUUUUAUGCGUAAAGUAUAUUUAGUUUUGAACUGAAGUCACCUCCUACGGCGAUAAUUUAGUAGAUCGUUUUAGGAGGUCCUAAUUACUAUAAAUCGAUGUUGUGAAGAAUCUAUGCUUACUUAAUAUGCACCUUUAGUGUCGUUAUUAAGGUUCAAAUGCAUUCUUUCCCUCGACAAUGAGGCUCUAAACAAUUGAUAUUUCAUUUUAUUGCAAUUCUUUUUCAAUCAUCAGUCUUGAACUACACAUAUAUUUGUACUUUUUUCCCUUUGCACCUUUUUCAUUAAAACCCGCACUUUAUUUGCGUUUUGUGCUUAAAGCCUCCAAGGACCUUAGAGAUUUUUGCUUUCGAUAACACUGGACGGUGAAAGUACUUGGGGUGAAUUGCUGUUCCUGGGCUUGAUGCAGACACUACAUUUUCAGUUAGCUAAAAUUUCAAUGUCACAUUAACUAUCAUCUUCUUUUUAUAAAUCUUUUUUAGUGGAGGGAGCUUUACUUAAUGACUUAGCUAAAGAGAAAAUCUAACUGAACAACAUUCUGUAUGGACUAUUUUCAUUCUCAAUAUGAAACGGGUUUGCUUGAUAGAAACCUGGAGCUAGAAGCAGGUUUUGGCAUGGAACUUACGCUACUAAUGUUUCAGGAAAAUAGAAGACGUCCCUCAAAGCCCCAUUAACUCAAAACAAGUCGACUCCUGCGUUUUUCAAUUCCCAGAAGCUCUUAGCUACUUAGAGAAAAGGGUGGAUAGACUAUACAGGAUUGACUUGGGGGAUCAAUAUGAGAAAUUCCUUCCUCUAUGAUCAAAUCGUGAGUAGAGCCUUUUGUUGAAGAUGGAUCAGUUUAUAGACUAAUUUCAUCUUUUCUUAGCCUCAAUUAGAGAGAGUUUUUGUUCUAUCAACCGAUCAUUUUAUCUCAGAGUUCAAUUUUGUGCAAUAUCUCACUGCUUUCCAUUUACACCACGGAGAUAUGAAAAGAAGCCUAGACCAGAGGACAGUGACUUAUUAAAAGAGGUUUGUUCAACUUCUAUUAUCGUUAUGUGGAUGUGUACUGGUGUUUUAAUAGCAUUAGAUGACAUAUCUCUGAAUUUUGUCUAUGUUGCAACAGUCUGCACUUUAUAGAGUUUUCAAUUGUAGUAAUGAGACGAAACCAAAGAAAAACUAUCAUCUUAACCAUUCUUUUUCAACAUAAGUUAAUAGUGUAAGCAUGUGAUGAAAUCCUUUCACUUGCUUCUCUUCGAUGGAAGUUUUAUUUUCCCAGAAUGUGCAGUAACCACAGCUAAAAGGCUUGCUAAUUUUCUAAGGGAUGCAAUGGUUAAAGAUAAAGGAUUGCUUUGUCAAUAUAUUGUUGCAUGUGACCCAAAGGUACACCUGUUUCAGCUUUAUUUGGUAGUUCCCCCUGUAUCCAGAGUUUUGAUCAAGAAUUUUGUUUAGUCAAUUCAAUGCGUACACCUACCCUCCCCAUAAACCACUUGUGGGAUUACGCAGUGUAUGUUGUUGUUUUGCGUAUUUCAAUCUGGCAUAGUAGGAAAUACAAAUAUAUACAGAUGGUAACUUGGUUUUAAUAUGAUAUUUUAGAUCAUCAUUUCUACCAUCUCUUAACGUAUCACCUGCAAGACAUAUUGAAUGUGAAACUUUGGGGGUUCUUUUAGGGUGUUAUUAUUCUAGAUCACGUCUACUUAUUACAGAUCCAGAAGUAUGUUUGACCAGCAUAGGGACAUGAGACUCGAAAUUGACGACAUGGGCUAUGAGGAACUUCUUGCACUGGGAGAAAGAAUUGGCUACGUCAAUAUUGUCCUGUCGGAGGAGCUGAUUUUAAAGUGUAUGACUGAGUCGAUUUAUUGUUCGUCAGACCAAAUUCAUGAGGCAGGUCACAUAACGACUUCAAGCACUAUUGAUCUUUUGUGUUUUCACGAUGAGUUUUAAGUUCUAUGCACUGGGAGGGAAGUUCAUUUUGAUCCUAAUUUUAAGAGUUUUGACGGGAUUGUCAGAGACCCAUCCUCAAAGACAUCAUACUAAGUUUCCAUUUUUGCAGAAGACUCAUGGAAAAAGAUUCAGCCUUUGUCGUCUCAAAAUUAUUUUUCUUACUUCUUAUGGCACAGUUAGUCUUAUUGAUAUAUUUGGUGAACAGAUGAAUGAUUCAUCAGUUAAUGGAAAGCAGACAAAAUCUGCAAACGCAAAAAGUGCAAUCUCCUUAUCAGUGGAGAUACAUAAUAGAAAAUCAAUGUCAUUACAUUACUAUUAAAAUGCAAGCACGGGCCUUGCCCAUCUAGUCUAAUAUAAUAGAUUAUGCAUUGUCUAAUCC